CUCCUCCUCUCUCCCCUGGUCUCCCUGUGUGUGAGCCUGGUCAGCCUGUUGCAAAGCAUUACUGGGAUUGGGAGUCUCUCGCGUCUCACCAGUGUCUGCCCUGCAUCAUGUCUCCUGACUGAGCUGCAAGAGGAGCCCCCCUCCUCACCUUCCUUCUCCCCCCAGAAAUUCCAAUCUCCUUGUCUGCAGCUUGUAACGGAGAGCUAUUGAGAAUUUCCUCUUCGUCGGAGUGAAGAAUACCCAAGUAAUCAUCAGGAUCUUCUUGAGACACCUCACUAAAAUGACAAGAAAACGCAGAAAAAUUAAAGGUUUUGCACUUGUAUCAAUUUUGGUGCUCCUGCCCCUCCGUGACGCCAAUGUCCGGGCGCGUCACGAUGAUGUCAUUUGAAGGAGCGGGGAGCGCGGGCGGGCGGCGUCGUGGACGGACAGGAGGAGGUAUAAAGGUAGAAUCCUUAUUUCCUUUUGGGUCAAGCAAGAAAGCCAAAAAGAAAAAAGCAAGAAAAAGAACGAAGAAUAAAUAAAAAUGCACUGGUGUGCUUUCUUGCCCCACUGGGAAAUUAUUUACAGAGUACAUUACCGGGAAAAAGUAAGCAAGUUGCAUAUUACAGUAACAAACUAAUGAAGAAGAAAAAAUCCUCAUGUUUCUUACAUCACUGAUUUUAAUA